AGUUUGGAUCCCGGGCUCCAGGGAUGAACGCUGGGCGGUCUUGUUUAACACAUGCAAGUCGAACGGGUGUCUUUCGGGACACAGUGGCCGGACCGGGUGAGUAACGCGUGAGAAUCUACCUUCAGGUUCGGGGGAUAACCCCUGGAAACGGGGGCUAAUACCGGAUAGGUCGAAAGAUGAAAGGUUAACUGCCUGAAGAGGAGCUCGCGUCUGAUUAGCUAGUAGGUGUGGUAAGAGCGCACCUAGGCGACGAUCAGUAGCUGGUCUGAGAGGAUGAGCAGCCACACUGGGACUGAGACACGGCCCAGACUCCUACGGGAGGCAGCAGUGGGGAAUUUUCCGCAAUGGGCGAAAGCCUGACGGAGCAAGACCGCGUGGGGGAGGAAGGCCUUUGGGUUGUAAACCCCUUUUGUUAGGGAAGAAAAAAAUGACGGUACCUAACGAAUCAGCCUCGGCUAACUCCGUGCCAGCAGCCGCGGUAAUACGGAGGAGGCAAGCGUUAUCCGGAAUUAUUGGGCGUAAAGCGUCCGUAGGUGGCCCGGCAAGUCUGCUGUCAAAGACCACAGCUCAACUGUGGAAAGGCAGUGGAAACUGCAAGGCUAGAGUGCGGUAGGGGUAGAGGGAAUUCCCAGUGUAGCGGUGAAAUGCGUAGAGAUUGGGAAGAACACCGGUGGCGAAAGCGCUCUACUGGGCCGCAACUGACACUGAUGGACGAAAGCUAGGGGAGCGAAUGGGAUUAGAUACCCCAGUAGUCCUAGCUGUAAACGAUGGAAACUAGGUGUAGCACGUAUCGACCCGAGCCGUGGCCGAAAGCAA
rnacentral:rRNA from 1 species